AUUCAUGCCAUCGGCAUAGGGGCUGUAUCAUGCUGAUAUUUUGUUAGCACGAUACAGCACCAUAGAUAAGACUCGUACCGAUUGGUAAGAAUGUAAAACAGGCCGGGCAGCCCAUCGUCAUCCGGGUUACUUUCAUUUCCGCUUUUAGUAAUCUAAAUAAAUAAAUAGUUCAGUUAGAUGAUCAUAUUUGAUGUUUGAAUAUUGUGAACUAUUUGAGUUGGUUUUCCAUUGCAUGCGACGAGAGUUUAUGGAUUUGUGGUUUUGGUUUUAUGAAAAGUUGGUUCUCAUAUUUAUGUAUUUACACAUUGUGGUUUUCUACUCCUUGAGGUAGCUGGCUUUCAAAAAAAAGUUUUCGUAUGGGAAACAGUUUUAAAAAGAUUUUUGAAUGGUUUUUGUAAAUGAUUGAAUUAGAGUUUAAAAACAAAGCUUUCGGAUGGAGAGCACUUUUAACUAGGAUGCUUGUUGUACUGUGCAUUGCAUCAUCCAGCGCUAAGGAGUGUUUAGAGGCAUGCAUCAUUCUUAAGGAUCGCUAGCUGUAUGGAAAUGCAUGGCAUGAACUGAUUGUUGAUUGGUAGAUGUAGGUUGUGGUUGAGAUUCUGAUAUUUCGUUGGUACGCCGUGCAAAUACAAAGAAGACUCUGUCCGAGUGGAUAGAGGAACUUUGUAUUUAUGGCGGGUCUGUACAUCAUGUGUGCCAGGUUGAACAAAAAAAAAGGC
rnacentral:lncRNA from 1 species